AAAAAGAUAUGGUAGAUAGAAGACAGUGGAGGAAUAUCUUUAAAGUACUGGAAUAUUAUGUCCAGUGAGAAUAUCCGUUAAAAACUAAGGCAAAAUAAUGACUUUUUUGAAUGGGGAAAACCUGACAGAACUUAUCACCAACAGCGAGAACUGAUGGAAAAUGACUCAGAUAUGGAGGAGAAGUUGAUGUGAAGAGGAAGACAGAGGUUGGGGUGACACGACCACAAACCCAGGAAGGCCAGCAACCACGGGGAGCUGGAGGAAGCAGAGAACAGAUCCUUCCCGUGGAGCCUCCUGAAGGAACACGGCUGUGCCAGAUUUCAGACUUCUGCUCUCAGAAACUGUGGGAAAACAAAUUUCUGUCGUCUACACCACCAGGGGUCCUCUGACAAUGUCUGAAAGCACAAGAAUUGUGUUCAGAAGAAAGCUCUCUAAGGAAACCACACUAUGGCUUUGUAUCCAUCGGUAUCUCAAACAAAAGAUAUGGAUAAGUAGCCAAGACGGUAUGACAGACUCCAGGGUUGCCAUUAUCCAUAGAAUUUCUGACACCAGGUGCCAGCCUCGGCCAAUUCCUCACAGUGCAGGCCACGUGCAUGUUCUCAGGGCUUGUGCACCUCGCUUUCAGUCCUGAAUUAGUGAGUCCACUAACGCUGGCCCCUGUGAUCCCUGGCCUCACAUUAUUGUUCUGGACUAGGAUCACCAACUUAGGUAAGACCCAUACCCCUUCCCAAAUAAUGGUCUGAGGAGGUCAGAGGUGAAUGAAAUCUGGGGUUGCCAGCUUUAGCAAAUAAACAUACAGCACACCAGUUAAAUUUGAACUUCAGGGGCGCCUGGGUGGCUGAUUCUGUUACGCGUCCAGCUCUCGGUUUCAGCUCAGGACACAGUCUCAUGGUUUUGGACUUUGAGCCUGACGUCGGGCCCCGCACUGGCAGUGCAGAGCCUUCUGGGGAUUCUCUCUC